UGAGGAAUCUGUCCAUCGGCGGGGGAUAGCCGGCCCAACGGCCGGGUAAUACCGCGUACGACCAUUUGGGGACAUCCCUGGAUGGUGAAAGCAGCAAUGCGCCGAUGGAGUGCCUCGCGGCCUAUCAGCUAGUUGGUGAGGUAACGGCUCACCAAGGCGACGACGGGUANCUGGUCUGAGAGGAUGGCCAGCCACAUUGGGACUGAGACACGACCCAGACCUCUACGGGGA
rnacentral:rRNA from 1 species